rnacentral:rRNA from 1 species
GUUUACAGCCAUAUAUUGAAGGUUCUCGUCUGAUCACUGAAGUUAAGUAAAGUCAAGCCUAGUUAAUACUUAUAUGGUGACUGCUUUGGAAAACUUGGCACUGCAAGCA